CGGGGCAGAGCGGACGGGGAAGGGGAACUGGUGCGCCGGGCCGAGGAGCGGGCCCUGAGAACGGGGCUCGGUACCCGGCGGCCACACGACCCGCGCGGGGCUUGGUCGGAGCGGGGCGGGAGGGUGCCCGGUUCGAGCCCGGGGGUGUCCGGGCCAAUCGCAGGGGGCUGUGGCGGCUUCGGUCUCGCUUUGCCCUGCCGAAGGCCCGGGCAAUGAACACGGGGUGGAACCGGUACAAAGAGCCCCGCAAAAUCCUCGGCCCUCGCCCCUGUUGAUGAGUUCGGGUGUGGAAGAGUACUGCUUGUCCUCCUACUCGGAGAGCUGCCUGCUGCCUCUCCUCAAAUACGUGAGUACGGGGUGAUCAUAAGAGCAGCUGGGAGCCCACUGAGAGGAUGACAGAGGUAUAAAUCCUUGGUCUAAUGGACAUCACCUGAAAAACUUGCAGAAAGAACUGUAAUAAUGUGAAGUCAACAGAGACUGUUCCAAGACUGUCUUUCUUUAACAAGGAAUUUUACAGUGACAUAGACUUUGUAACGUUCAACAUUAUACUUGUUGUCAUUUGCAUUUAUCUGCAGAAACAUAAUGUUGCAUAUCAGGAACUUUAACACACUGCUAUAAAACUUACUAUUAGGUACUGGUUCCUGGUCGACUAAUUAUUUCACUGUUCAGACGCA